AACGAACGCUGGCGGCAUGCCUAACACAUGCAAGUCGAACGAGACCUUCGGGUCUAGUGGCGCACGGGUGCGUAACGCGUGGGAACCUGCCCUUAGGUUCGGAAUAACUCCCCGAAAGGGGUGCUAAUACCGGAUAAUGUCUUCGGACCAAAGAUUUAUCGCCUUUGGAUGGGCCCGCGUUUGAUUAGCUAGUUGGUAGGGUAAAAGCCUACCAAGGCGACGAUCCAUAGCUGGUCUGAGAGGAUGAUCAGCCACACUGGGACUGAGACACGACCCCGACUCCUAGGAGAGGUAGCAGUGGGGAAUAUAGGAGAAUGGGCGAGAGCCUGAUCCAGCAAUGCCGCGUGAGUGAUGAAGGCCUUAGGGUUGUAAAGCUCUUUUACCCGGGAUGAUAAUGACAGUACCGGGAGAAUAAGCACCGGCUAACUCCGUG
rnacentral:rRNA from 1 species